UACGUAGGGUGCGAGCGUUGUCCGGAAUUAUUGGGCGUAAAGAGCUCGUAGGCGGUCUGUCGCGUCUGCUGUGAAAUCCCGAGGCUCAACCUCGGGCUUGCAGUGGGUACGGGCAGGCUAGAGUGCGGUAGGGGAGAAUGGAACUCCUGGUGUAGCGGUGGAAUGCGCAGAUAUCAGGAAGAACACCGAUGGCGAAGGCAGUUCUCUGGGCAUUACCUGACGCUGAGGAGCGAAAGUGUGGGGAGCGAACAGG
rnacentral:rRNA from 1 species